ACUUACCUGGGCUUGACAUACACCAGAUCGGCGCAGAGAUGCGUUUUCCCUUUGUGGUUGGUGUACAGGUGGUGCAUGGUUGUCGUCAGCUCGUGUCGUGAGAUGUUGGGUUAAGUCCCGCAACGAGCGCAACCCUUGUCUUAUGUUGCCAGCACGUGGUGGUGGGGACUCAUGAGAGACUGCCGGGGUUAACUCGGAGGAAGGUGGGGAUGACGUCAAAUCAUCAUGCCCCUUAUGUCCAGGGCUUCACACAUGCUACAAUGGUCGGUACAGUAGGUUGCGAUACCGUGAGGUGGAGCUAAUCCUUGUAAAGUCGGCCUUAGUUCGGAUUGGGGUCUGCAACUCGACCCCAUGAAGUCGGAGUCGCUAGUAAUCGCAGAUCAGCAACGCUGCGGUGAAUA
rnacentral:rRNA from 1 species